rnacentral:rRNA from 1 species
UACAGAGGUCCCGAGCGUUGUUCGGAUUCACUGGGCGUAAAGGGUGCGUAGGUGGUGAGGUAAGUCGGAUGUGAAAUCUCCGGGCUCAACCCGGAAAUGGCAUUGGAAACUACCUUGCUGGAGGAUUUGAGGGGGGAUUGGAAUACUUGGUGUAGCAGUGAAAUGCGUAGAUAUCAAGUGGAACACCAGUGGCGAAGGCGAAUCCCUGGAAAAUACCUGACACUGAGGCACGAAAGCGUGGGGGAGCAAACAGG